GAUAAACGCUGGCGGUCUGCAUAACACAUGCAAGUCGAACGAAGCUCUUUGGAGCUUAGUGGCGGACGGGUGAGUAACGCGUGAGGAUCUGCCUUUAGGACUGGGACAACGAUCGGAAACGAUCGCUAAUUCCAGAUAUGCAGUUAGUGAAACGGAGCAAUCCGCCUAAAGAUGAACUCGCGUCCGAUUAGCUAGUUGGUAGUGUAAGGGACUACCAAGGCAACGAUCGGUAGCUGGUCUGAGAGGACGAUCAGCCACACUGGAACUGAGACACGGUCCAGACUCCUACGGGAGGCAGCAGUGAGGAAUUUUCCGCAAUGGCGAAAGCCUGACGGAGCAAGACCGCGUGU
rnacentral:rRNA from 1 species